GUCCACGCCGUAAACGAUGAGUACUAGGUGUAGGGGUAUCGACCCCUCUGUGCCGAAGCUAACGCGAUAAGUACUCCGCCUGGGGACUACGGCCGCAAGGCUAAAACUCAAAGGAAUUGACGGGGCCCGCACAAGCAGCGGAGCGUGUGGUUUAAUUCGAUGAUACGCGAAGAACCUCACCCAGGCUUGACAUGUAUGUGGUACAGAGGUGAAAGCCGACGGACCCUUCGGGGAGCAUACACAGGUGUUGCACGGCCGUCGU
rnacentral:rRNA from 1 species